rnacentral:rRNA from 1 species
AUUGAACGCUGGCGGCAGGCUUAACACAUGCAAGUCGAGCGAGCGGCGGACGGGUGAGUAAUGUCUGGGAAACUGCCUGAUGGAGGGGGAUAACUACUGGAAACGGUAGCUAAUACCGCAUACCAUCAGAUGUGCCCAGACGGGAUUAGCUAGUGGGUGGGGUAAUGGCUCACCUAGGCGACGAUCCCUAGCUGGUCUGAGAGGCUGACCAGCCACACUGGAACUGAGCCACGGUCCAGACUCCUACGGGAGGCAGCAGUAGGGAAUAUUGCACAAUGGGCGCAAGCCUGAUGCAGCCAUGCCGCGUGUGUGAAGAAGGCCUUCGGGUUGUAAAGCACUUUCAGCGAGGAGGCGUUACUCACAGAGAAAGCACCGGCUAACUCCGUGCCAGCAGCCGCGGUAAUUC